GUGUGUGUGUGUGUGUAUGUGUGCGAGUGUGCUUGCUAUGCUCGCGCUCUCAUUUGUGUGUUUUAUGACAAAGACCCCAACUCUGUGUCUGGAAGUAAUCAUCUCGUCCAGGCUGCACUCCACAGCCCCCUCCCUAUGAUGUAAUUGGAGUUUUUCGCAUGAAGGUUCAAGAUUUUCAGUGGGAUUCUGGGGAAUUUUCCAAGAGCUGUUCCAUAUCUCACCAGAGAGGGGCAGCAACCACAUCUGCUGCUGAAAAGUAAACCCCCCCACCCUCCACCCCCUCUCCCUUACUCCUGGGGAGGAGAGUCUGAGCAGAGAGUUGAGGUGGGAGGGGAGAGGGGCUCCCGUCUGAUCCUUUGUCAUGGGAAGACUUUUACUGUGCUGUUACAUACAGAGACAGAGAGGACUUCAGCUUCAGCAGUAACAGAAACAAUCAGGCGCAAGUAUGUGAAUGGGACAGACAAAAAAGGU